rnacentral:rRNA from 1 species
UACGUAGGGUGCAAGCGUUAAUCGGAAUUACUGGGCGUAAAGCGUGCGCAGGCGGCUUUGCAAGACAGAUGUGAAAUCCCCGGGCUCAACCUGGGAACUGCAUUUGUGACUGCAUGGCUAGAGUACGGUAGAGGGGGAUGGAAUUCCGCGUGUAGCAGUGAAAUGCGUAGAUAUGCGGAGGAACACCGAUGGCGAAGGCAAUCCCCUGGACCUGUACUGACGCUCAUGCACGAAAGCGUGGGGAGC